rnacentral:pre_miRNA from 14 species
AUCUUAGUUUUGAAAGACCCCCGGAGAGGGGAGACUCUCCCUCAAGUCUCGGGAUGACGUGACCCCCCAAGAACUCACAAGAGUCC